GAGGUUUCGAGCACUCCAGGGGAAUUCCAGAACCCUCUUACUUACUGUCUGGGUGAAGGUUAUCUCUUGCCAUCUCCUGUUGUGAGAGGUAUCUCAAACUGCAUUGACAGAUGUGAAGACUUCCCAAGAGAUCAAGGGGCCCUGGUCUAAAUCAUAUCAUUCAAAGAUGCUGCUCUUAUCACAAAACAGGACAGACUCAAAAUGGGUAUAAGAGAUCAAACUGAUAGUCUUCCUGCCUUGGAAUAAUACUAAAAAUUCAAGCUCUAUGAGGACUAAGCCUGGAGGCUGAGCUGGUGACCAUCUUCAGAGGUCAUCUGGCCAAAGGAAAGUCAUAGAUGGAGGAGAAGCACGUGACAUGGAGAGAGAGAUGCUACCAAGUGGAGCACAGCUUCCUGGGAGCCUGGAGUGAGUGUUCUGCAACUCCCAGUGCAGCCCAGGAGUCUCAUGGGCCCCCACACACCCGAGCCCUAGCUUUGAAAAGCUUUUACCCAGGACCCUGCACUCUUCAAGUUCUUUUCCCAAGCUUAAGAAGGAGAAGAAUCACCCGGGGAGCCUGUUAAACACGAAGUUUCCGGUUUAGCUGUCCUGGGUUUCUGCAUUUUUUAACAAGCAUGAACCUCAGUUUGAGUAAAGACACCACGGAGGACUUGGUUAAUGAGUUCCGGCUGCUCAGCUUGAACCGCACGCGGUCUGAAGCCUUCGCAGUAAGGAACCUCAAUUACUGUCACUUCCCUGCGCUGAUGCACACUCAACAGGCUCGGCAGGCCCCGGGCUCUCCACUCCAGGGCUGAAUCAGCAGCUAAGCACUCCUAUUCUUUGGAAAUUCUCCACUCACUCGUGUGGAUUUCUGUUUCAACACUAAAGAACCAGCGUCCUCAACUUGGACUGGCAGGAGAUUCACAUCCUGGUGCUCACCUGCCAUCUGGUGGUGAGAAAUGAACACCAAGAUACAGGGAAAAUUUUUUUCUCCUUUCUUCUGCUUUUUCUCCAUGGUAAACAACUCAGAGUGUUUGGUCACUGUAAAAUGUAAAAGGUGCGUG
ensembl:lncRNA